CAUCGGUGACAGGUGGUGCAUGGUUGUCGUCAGCUCGUGUCGUGAGAUGUUGGUUAAGUCCCGCAACGAGCGCAACCCCUAUUGUUAGUUGCCAUCAUUCAGUUGGGCACUCUAGCGAGACUGCCGGUAAUAAACCGGAGGAAGGUGGGGAUGACGUCAAAUCAUCAUGCCCCUUAUGACCUGGGCUACACACGUGCUACAAUGGUUGGUACAACGAGUUGCGAGUCGGUGACGGCGAGCUAAUCUCUUAAAGCCAAUCUCAGUUCGGAUUGUAGGCUGCAACUCGCCUACAUGAAGUCGGAAUCGCUAGUAAUCGCGGAUCAGCACGCCGCGGUGAAUACGUUCCCGGGCCUU
rnacentral:rRNA from 1 species